rnacentral:rRNA from 1 species
CCUACGGGUGGCAGCAGUGAGGAAUAUUGGUCCAUGGGCGGAAGCCUGAACCAGCCAUGCCGCGUGAAGGUCAGUGCCCUAUGGGCGUUAAACUUCUUUUGUGCGGGAGCAAUAAUGGUCACGUGUGGCCAGACGAGAGUACCGUACGAAUAAGCAUCGGCUAACUCCGUGCCAGCAGCCGCGGUAAUCCGGGGGAUGCAAGCGUUUUCCGGAUUUAUUGGGUUUAAAGGGUGCGUAGGCUGUGAGUUAAGUCAGCGGUGAAAUGCCCCCGCUCAACGGGGUGAAUGGCCAUUGAUACUGCCGUGCUGGAAUGCGGAUGCCGUGGGAGGAAUGUGUGGUGUAGCGGUGAAAUGCAUAGAUAUCACACAGAACACCGAUUGCGAAGGCAUCUCACGAAUCCGCGAUUGACGCUGAUGCACGAAAGCGUGGGUAUCAAACAGGAUUAGAUACCCCAGUAGUC